UACAGAGGGGGCAAGCGUUUGUUCGGAAUUACUGGGCGUAAAGGGCGCGUAGGCGGCCUGUUAAGUCGAACGUGAAAUCCCCGGGCUCAACCCGGGAACUGCGUCCGAUACUGGCAGGCUUGAAUUCGGGAGAGGGAUGUGGAAUUCCAGGUGUAGCGGUGAAAUGCGUAGAUAUCUGGAGGAACACCGGUGGCGAAGGCGGCAUCCUGGACCGAUAUUGACGCUGAUGCGCGAAAGCCAGGGGAGCAAACGGG
rnacentral:rRNA from 1 species